UCUCCCUGAAGUUUAGAGAACCAUGUUUGUAUUUAUUUACUGCAUUACCCAAGGUCCAAAGUAAAAGUAGUCUAAAGUACCUUUUUUAUUUUUCGUUUUGGUGGAAUGAUGACUAUGUCGCUUUGUGAGGUACUGGACUCUGAGGAGUCGGGGGCUUCGAUGUCUCCUGCAGCAGCUUAUGAGUAAAUACAUCAAGAAGAACUGGAUUAAUUCGAUUUACCAUUUCAACUACUGUAACUGUUGCUGGCUAACUGUGUCAGAAGGCUUGUGUCUGCAUAAAGGUCAGGGGACCUGUUGGUGGAUCGCUUCCUGUCUCUGGACUGGCUCAAAGAUGUGGUCUUCUCUUUUCUACUGUUUUGUGAGCCCCUCUGUUUGACAGCUGAGUCUGGGGUGAAAGCAAAAAUAAAACGGCAUUAAGCAAGCAAGCAAACAUGGAUGAAAUUACAUUUCAGCAUUUACACAGAGACCUAAUCUAAGAGUCCCCUAUUUCUAAAAGCAGAAGUUCAUCAAAUACGUGUCCACCUUGAGUUGAGAUUUUGUUCUAGUUUCACCUUCACUCUGGGCUUGGCUACAGGCCUCUGUGACACCUCAGCCAUGUCUUUCCUCCUCUCUUCCCUCUCAGUGCUUUCCUUUGCACUGCCUUGCUUGUUUGCUUCCUUCCUCUCUUUGUUCAGCAGGUGGUCUGGCGGUGGCUGGAAGGGGUACUUCCACCUAACCAUGAUCCUGACCAUGCCUCGAGGCCCACCAGCUGCAUCCCUCAGGACAUAGUCCCCUGAAGUCCCCAAAAAACAUGUCUGUGAGGCUGAGGGGGUCAUUUAAAACCAACUCCUUUGAUGUAAGGGUUUAAUAGUGAAUAGUGCAACCAGCUACUCUCCCUGUCUUACCUCUGAUGUCUCUGCCUGCAGCCAAGGCUCGCAGUGGGAUGGGGGUCUUGGCCAGAUAGGUGGGUGGUACUUGGUCAUCGCUGUCAUCAAACACAUAAACCCACAGACUACUAGACCUAGACACAAUUAGCACAAAACAUUUCUUUGAAUAUUUAGCAGGAACAGAGAUUCAGGAGAAUGGACGGUUGCUGAAAGACAUAUACUGUAUGACAAUACUUAUCAAUUUAGGAGACUAGAUGUAACACUCAUACCUCAAAUAGUGCAACACAUGUGUUGACACUGCCAGGGGGUAGCUGGUGGUAUCGUUGAACACCGGGUCAGCGCUGCACUGCACGGUUUGAGAGACGUGAGGGGGCAGGUCGUAGAACCUGAAUGUCAGGUAGGCAUCAGGCAGGAGUCCAGGCCAGCGCGUAUUCAGGCCCACGCAGCGCUCCAACGUCACCACCAACUCAUUUGGGAUCCCUCCACCGUAGUCAUGUAACUGCAGCAGUUAAGUAGGCAUUGUCACAAACCGCAGUGUUUAGAAAGGCUUAGAGUGACUCACAGCACGCUACUGUACCUCAUGGCCUUCCUGCCAGCCAUAGAAGGCCGGCACGAGGCUCCUGUCUGCUGCUGUUCUCCUGUCAGCUGGUCUCUCAGUAACGGCGUCCAUGGGCUCUGCAGGAGGGAACAGACGCACCCAGAAAUCCACAACACCAACUAUUCCACCCUCAGAGCCUUGGAGAGACACAGACAGGCAGACAGACAGAGCAACGCCAAUGAGAGACAUCUGCCCACUUCCAUGCGUCACAAACCUGACCCCUCCUAACGCCUGGUGGAGCUCCACUCUGACCCUUGACCCCUGACCCCCUAGCCUGCCCAGAUCAUGGGCUGUCAGAGCAUAGCGG